GAUGAACGCUGGCGGCGUGCCUAAUACAUGCAAGUCGAGCGAACAGACGAGGAGCUUGCUCCUCUGACGUUAGCGGCGGACGGGUGAGUAACACGUGGAUAACCUACCUAUAAGACUGGGAUAACUUCGGGAAACCGGAGCUAAUACCGGAUAAUAUAUUGAACCGCAUGGGUCAAUAGUGAAAGACGGUUUUGCUGUCACGUAUAGAUGGAUCGGCGCCGCAUUAGCUAGUUGGUAAGGUAACGGCUUACCAAGGCGACGAUGCGUAGCCGACCUGAGAGGGGGAUCGGCCGCCUGGGAACUGGGACACGGUCCAGACUCCUACGGGAGGCAGCAGUAGGGAAUCUUCCGCAAUGGGCGAAAGCAUGACGGAGCAACGCCGAGUGAGUGAUGAAGGUCUUCGGAUCGUAAAACUCUGUUAUUAGGGAAGAACAAAUGUGUAAGUAACUAUGCACGUAUUGACGGUACCUAAUAAGAAAGCCACGGCUAACUACGUG
rnacentral:rRNA from 1 species